UUUUCACUUCUCUGUGCCUCUUUCAACAUUUAUUUGUGUGCAUACAUAGCAUAUUUGUUUGUGUAACAGGAUGUUAAAAAUAGAAUUUGUUACCUGUAGUUUUUGCUAAAGCUCUACUAGACUGGAACAGAACAAUAGGUGGUGAAUACUCCAUUCCUCAGUGAGAUGCUACCUACCUAUGCAGAGCUGGAAAAGAUUUUGCAACCGGAAGACCCAAUCCUUUCUGAGAGAUAUAAAAGAACAGAAGAGUCUGGAAGAGAUUUCUUUGGAGAAAUUCAUUUUCUUAUUCCAGAGAAGAAACUUCAAGCUCAGAAUAUUGGCUACUACCUGGGAUAAACAUUUAAAUUAUUGGAAUGAGAGAGUUUUUAUAACUAAAUUUGAAAGAAGUGAUUUCUAUAUCAAAGACCAACCCAAAGAUUCAUGACCACUGCCUGUGAUUUCAUCCAUGUUGCAAGGAAAAUCCUGCCCCCCUUCCCCAAUAGGAAGAGCAGUGGGGGAAAAAUAAAGUUGUUUUAUGAUGCAUCCUAUGGACUUCUACUGGACAGAAUGGUAACAUUCAACUGUAAUCAGGAUGAGCAAGCCACUUUAUUAAACUAAAAUUUUAAACUUUAAUAAAUAUAAUACAAACUGAAAAAUAAAAAUAAUUUUUCAACUCCACACAAAUAUGUUAACUGCAUAAACAGUGAGAUGUUACACAGGGCUGAGGCCUAUACUUCUUCAGUUUGUACAUUAAAUGUCUCCAUGGAGGGUCAAUUGCAUCCUGCCUAUUCUGACAGUUAUCAGGUAGCAAGAGAUUUGAGGAAGAGGCACUUUUCUAAUCUGGGGUAGAAAAAGGAAUGAUACCAUGUAUCAUGAGAAGUAUUUGCACAUAGCAUGUCAAUUAAGCAAGUGCUCAGACUAUUAACAGUAUUACUAUGUGAUGAAUGUUUAUACAAUGGAUUCAAAAAUAAGCUUCUUUCCAGAAAGCAGCUUAGUUUUCAUUAAUUAUUACCAGCAUCUUGGUAAUUAUUUAUUCAAUGGUUUAAAAGUUAAAGUUUCAAUCUAUAUUUGUUUUUUUAACAUCAGCCAAGGAAAUACGUGUCUGUUAUACUGCAUCUUUGGAAGUAUGCAAUAAGUGUAACUAUUGAAUAUAUAUUGAAGAGCCACAAGACACUGAAUUAAACUGGAAGAGACUAUUUUAAUUAGGAAGACACUCAAUCAUCUCCUGUGAUCAGCUUAAGGUUUUUGUUUUAUCUGGAACAAGCUAAGUUCCAGAAAAUAAAGUUAGUUUUUUGGGUGCAUGGGUUUUAGAGUAAAUUAGUAAUUUAGUAAACUUUGACAUUUCCGCUUUGUCUCCAAGUACAUUUAAAUUCGAUCUGUCUGAUUGAAGUUCUAAGGCAUUCUGUGUUUACUUAGAAAUGAUUCCUUAUAUUAAUGUCUACAAAUGCUAAAUUGUAUUUGUUAAAUACAUGUCUUAUUGCCUAAGACUUUUCCUUUCUUAUAAGUUUAAUAUAAAUGUCUAGGAAAUAAGACUCCCAUUUAAUAGCUUAUAAAGAAUGCUGAUGUAUCAGCAGUGGCCUUGACAUUAUUGGAUACAAGUAAGACCUACACUGAUGAUUAAAUCAAAUUGGCUAAGAUUAUUCGUUCUAAUAAAAGCACUGACUCCAUGAA
rnacentral:lncRNA from 1 species